rnacentral:tRNA from 1 species
AUUUAAAUAGUUUAAAAAAAAUUUUGAUUUGUGGCAUCAAAGAUAUACAGAGUAUUUUAAAUC